GCCGUGUUAACUCAAAAAAGUAACCGAAAGAGUGGCAGUUCACGGCGGUUUCACAUUCUCUUUCCUAUUCUGAUGCAGUUAGGAGGUUUCCGGUGGUUUUACCCUAUCCACGUUCGCACGCUAUUUACCCCACUCCUCUUUUUUCUCCGGUUUACGUGGUAUUAAAGAAGGCAACCAUCCCUCCUUUCUUUCUUUAAUCACAGCAACAACCCUUCAUUUGUUUCUUCACUUCCAAUCGUUCAUCACCGAAAUCAGUGAUCGCUUCACGAUUGAAGCAUACAAUCACCACCAUUUAGCCUCCGGUCACAGGAAACCAUCGCAGGUUGCCGUUUGUUAAUAAGGGUGUGAACCAAUAAUCUUUACUUCUUCCUCAGAUCUUAUCAAGGUGAAUAAUGAUUCGAAUGAUAGUGUUUUGAAGUUAAUGUUACAUGGAGACCAAGUAUUCGAUGAAAUGUCUUAAUGACAAAAUCGAAAUGAUCAGUUUGGAAUGAUCAUGAAUUUUGAGCAUGAGAUCCCAUCUUCUUCAGAGCUUGAUUGUAAUUUGUCAGUUUGAAGAAUGGUUGAUAAAAAAGGUUUAUUUUUAACCACUAGAAUAAGUCCUGUUUAUCAAAUGCUUUACGCUGGUGGAUCUUUUCAUUUGCCACAAAGCGCAAGUCAUUAAAAAGUUAGAUGGUUGUGACUUUUUACAAAAGGAGAAAGCAACCCCAAACACCCUCAAUAUGGAUUCUCUUUGUUUGUUACGUUGUUAGUGUAACCCGUCCACCGGACGGGUAUUAAACUAGUUCGGUUGGUGAGCGUGAAGUUGCUGCUAGGACUUGGAAUGUGAUUGCUAGAUGGCUUAAAUUAAAUUGGACCUUCCGAGUUCAAAAUUUCCAUCUGAAUAAUUCAAAGCAAUUAGUAGUCGAAUCUAUUCUCAUGAUGGUUUGGUUGAUUUUGUGGCGGUUCAAACAUGACUUCAUCUUGGAGAAGGAUAGGAGGAAUCGUGUUAAAUUAACAAUGUUAAUAUCUUUAAUGCCAUUGUUCAUUACUCGUUUUUUUUUUGGGCACUCGAAUAGGUCUUGUAAGAUUAAGUUUGCUUUGUAGAGUGGUUAAAGAACCCGGUUAUGUGUGUGUUACAGUAAUUGUUCCUUCCGUCUAGCUAUUUGCUAGUUGGGCUUUUAUAUUUGCUAAUUGGGCUUUUAUAUGUUCUAUAUGCGGUUCAAAAACAACAAAAAGGCCGGGCCAUGAUCCAGAAACAUCAGCCCAAAAAAAAGACCUGGUGUGAUCACUUAUACUCUU
rnacentral:lncRNA from 1 species